UACGUAGGGUGCAAGCGUUGUCCGGAAUUAUUGGGCGUAAAGAGCUCGUAGGCGGUUUGUUGCGUCGGCUGUGAAAUCCCGAGGCUCAACCUCGGGUCUGCAGUCGAUACGAGCAAACUAGAGUGUUGCAGGGGAGACCGGAAUUCCUGGUGUAGCGGUGAAAUGCGCAGAUAUCAGGAGGAACACCGGUGGCGAAGGCGGGUCUCUGGGCAGCAACUGACGCUGAGGAGCGAAAGCGUGGGGAGCGAACAGG
rnacentral:rRNA from 1 species